AUGUAUGCUUUUAGCGGGAAUAUUAUUAAAGAUGGGAGCAUAUGGAUUGAUUCGGAUCAACAUGGAAUUGUUACCUCAUGCUCAUUAUCUAUUUUUGCCCUCGUUAGUAAUAAUAGGAGCGAUCCAAAUAAUCUAUGCAGCUUCAACUUCUCUUGGUCAACAAAAUUUCAAAAAAAGAAUAGCUUAUUCCUCUGUAUCUCACAUGGGUUUCAUAAUUAUAGGAACUAG
rnacentral:rRNA from 1 species